rnacentral:rRNA from 1 species
AUACGGAGGAUCCGAGCGUUAUCCGGAUUUAUUGGGUUUAAAGGGUGCGCAGGCGGCCAUUUAAGUCAGCGGUUAAAUCGUGGGGCUCAACCCCAUUCUGCCGUUGAUACUGGGUGGCUUGAUUGCGGUCGAGGUUGGCGGAAUUCGUUGUGUAGCGGUGAAAUGCAUAGAUAUGACGAAGAACACCGAUUGCGUAGGCAGCUGACCAGACCGCAAAUGACGCUCAUGCACGAAAGUGCGGGGAUCGAACAGGAUUAGAUACCCUGGUAGUCCGCACAGUAAACGAUGAAUACUCGCUGUUUGCAAUACACGGUAAGCGGCCAAGCGAAAGCGUUAAGUAUUCCACCUGGGGAGUACGCCGGCAACGGUGAAACUCAAAGGAAUUGACGGGG